AGGGAAUAUUGGGCAAUGGACGCAAGUCUGACCCAGCCAUGCCGCGUGCAGGAUGACGGUCCUCUGGAUUGUAAACUGCUUUUUUAUGGGAAGAAACCUUCGGAUGCGUCCGAAGCUGACGGUACCAUAAGAAUAAGGAUCGGCUAACUUCGUGCCAGCAGCCGCAGUAAGACGAAGGAUUCAAGCGUUGUCCGGAUUUACUGGGUUUAAAGGGUGCGUAGGCGGAAAAUUAAGUCAGUGGUGAAAUCCCGCAGCUCAACUGCGGAACUGCCAUUGAAACUGAUUUUCUUGAAUACAGUUGAGGUAGAUGGAAUAUAACAUGUAGCGGUGAAAUGCUUAGAUAUGUUAUAGAACACCAAUUGCGAAGGCAGUCUGCUAAGCUGUGAGUGACGCUGAGGCACGAAAGCGUGGGGAGCGAAC
rnacentral:rRNA from 1 species